rnacentral:rRNA from 1 species
ACGGGAGGCAGCAGUGGGGAAUAUUGGGCAAUGGGCGCAAGCCUGACCCAGCGACGCCGCGUGAAGGAAGAAGGCCUUCGGGUUGUAAACUUCAGUCAACAGGGAAGAAACAAAUGACGGUACCUGUGGAGGAAGCCACGGCUAACUACGUGCCAGCAGCCGCGGUAACACGUAGGUGGCGAGCGUUAUCCGGAUUUACUGGGUGUAAAGGGUGUGUAGGCGGGAUUGCAAGUCAGAUGUGAAAAUUAUGGGCUUAACUCAUAACCUGCAUUUGAAACUGUGAUUCUUGAGUGUCGGAGAGGUAAAUGGAAUUCCCAGUGUAGCGGUGAAAUGCGUAGAUAUUGGGAGGAACACCAGUGGCGAAGGCGGUUUACUGGACGACAACUGACGCUGAGACACGAAAGCGUGGGGAGCAAACAGGAUUAGAUACCCUGGUA